AUUGAACGCUGGCGGCGGGCCUAACACAUGCAAGUCGAACGAGUGGCGGACGGGUGAGUAAUGUCUGGGCAACUGCCUGAUGUAGGGGGAUAACUACUGGAAACGGUAGCUACUACCGCAUACCAUCAUAUGUGCCCAGAUGGGAUUAGCCAGUUGGUGGGGUAACGGCUCACAAAGGCGACGAUCCCUAGCUGGGCUGAGAGGCUGACCGGCCACACUGGAACGGAGACACGGCCCAGAAUCCUACGGGAGGCAGCAGUGGGGAAUAUUGCACAAUGGGCGCAAGCCUGAUGCAGCCAUGCCGCGUGUAGGAAGAAGGCCUUCGGGUUGUAAAGUACGUUCAGCGGGGAGGCGUUACCCGCAGAAGAAGCACCGGCUAACUCCGUGACAGCAGCCGCGGUAAUAC
rnacentral:rRNA from 1 species